UCUCCUCUCAUGUCUCCUGGUGAAAGGCCCUUCCUCUUUUUCUUCUCAAAGUUCCUUUCUCUUCCCCAGGAAGUUCCACCUUCUGCUUCCUGUCCAACUAACUGGCCAUCAGAUGUUUAUUAAAGCCAAUCAGAGAAUGCCUUAGGUAGGUGAGGAAGGACAGAGACACAAAUUCAUACAGUGUAUCCCAACAACUAGUUACUUUUCUAUUGCCAUAAACAAGGCACUAUGACCAAGACAACUUAUAUGUCAAAAAGCAUUGAAUUUGGAGCUUUUGUAGAGUUUAGAGGGUGAGUGUCUGACCAUCAUGAUGGAAAGCAAGGCUGCAGGCAGGUCCUGGAGAAGUAGCUGAGAGCUUACACGUCAUCCACAAGAAUGAUACAAAGAAGGAGAAGAUGGAACAUGACCCUGUCUUAAAAAAGAAAAAAAGACAGCUCCUAAGGAACAAUACCCAAGAUUGUGCUUCAGCCUACACACACACACACACACACACACACACACACACACACACAUUCAUUCACACACAUAUACAUAUACACAUUCAUACACACACACACACUCACACACACACUCAUACUCACACACAUUCACACACAUAUACACAUUCAUACACACACACACACACACACACACACUCACACACUAUACUGAAAUGGGGAAAUUAAAAGCAGAACUAGAAGGAGCUUCCAAUCUAGUAGAACUAGUAAGUACUGAGAGAGAUCAAAUAUCUGAGAUCAAAGCCAUGUGAAUGAUUGACAAAGAAUAUGGUGUUCUUCCAACACUGUGGUCUUGAGAUUUUCUUUGCUGUAACUAAAGCCCAGUAACUUAUCAGAGUUGCCCAUUAACAAUACACCACAAUAAGGAGCAUAGCCUGAACUUUCCUCUUAUCUACCUGCAAUGCAGAUACGCACAGACAAUACCUCUACCAUCUGUUCUUGCUUCAAGAGUCUGUGCGCCAGUAAACAUAAAAUUCCCUAAAGUAGCUGUAAAAAUGCUGCGCUAUGCAAAUCACCUCAACCAUUUAAGUCUUUGACACUGCCUACAAAAAUAGCUGCCCAUAAAAGAGAAUCAGAUGCGGUGAAUAAUUCACAUGCAUGCCCUUGUGUGGGCGGGAGCUGGGUGCUGUUUGCUUUGACGUGGUGAAACCCACAGUUAGAAUCCAGACUUCUACCUAGAAUCUCAGUCUGAACACUUUCAAGGCAUUGACAGUCGCAGAACUGAAAUGAAUGAAGGUUCUAGUCACGGAGCCGUGAGUUGCCAUAGUUUUUGAUGACUUAUUUUUAUUUUUGUUCUCUCCUUACCCCAAGGGGCUUGUCCUGUGCAUUUAACCUUGACACCUAUGAAGUCAUGCAUUUCCAGAGAACCUGGAGGACUGCAGGCACCAAAGAAUGAGGGUAGAGCUCCAUCCACAAAAGACCCCAUCUGUCUGGAAACCAUCAGCCUUUCUUUGGCCUAAAUUGAGCUGAAUAGAAGUUAUCCCUCAAAGUUGGCAUGCUACCUUCUGAAGAUCCCUUUGGAAUGCAUGUAUCUGCCUUGGAUGGAAAUCACAUUACCUAGCAAUCUUACCAUAAACAUAAACACACACUGGUUUGGCACCACCACCAUAAACACACACAGCUUUGGCUUCCUCAAGGGAGGGACAGUAAGGUAACAGGUUAUUAUGUGAUGAAUUCAAUGCCUUUUAGAAGCUUUUUUUUCCUUCUCUCUCUCUCUCUCUCUUUUUAGAUAUUUGCUUAGAAUGCUCUGUAGAAGGAACACUGGGCUUUUUGUAAGCCAGUUUGGAAGGCUUGCCUCCAAGGCAGUUACAAACUUAAGACAUUGCUAGGAGAAAUUCUAUUGUAUAAAGACAGUUUUGCUGGAAGAGGUUCACUGAGCAUUUAUUUGGUCCAAUCUCAUGCUAUAUACAAAGCAGGAGUGCAGGGACAAGAAAGUUCUAUUUCUUCCUCUGUGCUCUAGUUACGAAGCAAGUUAGACUUCAAUUAAGAUACACAGAGUGGCACUCCUCCAUCCUUGCCCCCAGAUAGACUGCAUAUGAGAGAACCAUGCAGAAUGAGGAGAGGUGACAUAUCUGAAGAGAGAGGACAUGAGGGCAAAUAUAUGGGGCAGAGGCAGAGGGAUUGUCAGAGAAGCCCCAUCUGAGGAGUAAUGAGAACACAGAACACAGCAGGGAGCAUUGGUUCCGAAGAAAGGCCAAGUGCUUCACUCUCCAAACAGGAGAAGGAGAAGGGGAGGCUUGCCCUAAAGACUGAAGGACAAGAGUGAGAAAAUGGUUCUAAUCAUUUGUAAGGACAGAGGCUAUAGGAAGAGACGGAGGGCGGAUCUGGACACCAUCAGCCAAUGGGGUCUUGGAGACAGGGAAUGAAUAAUUUGGAAGGACAUCAGGGCUAGGGAUUUUGGGUAGAGCGAUCUGGAGUUAAUGACACAGCUGUGCAGGGCUGCAGACAAGCCAGCAGGGCAGGAUAGAAGCUACAGCUAAAGACCGGGAGCCAGCGGGUUAGCAGGUUACCCUCUUGUCCAUGAGGCAUCCAGCUGACACCCUGCCAAACCUGAGGGAGAGAGAGAUAGGUCACAAGCCCUCUGCCAAAACCCUACGUGAGCUCUAGAGACGGUGGCUGAUGAUAUUUGAUAGGUUUGACAGAGGAUAAGGUGUGAGGGUAAUUUAUGUGUGGAGGGAAGAAUAUGGCCUGGGGACAAUUUUAAAGGGUAAGGGUGGUAUCAACUCCCAACACCCAGCCCAGAGGGCAGAGGGUGGAUAAGAAUGAGUCUCACCAAGUAAUGGCGCUUGCUGCUGACCUUGACAACCUUGAGUUCAGUGCCUGGACCCCAGAUGAAGGAUGGAAAGAGCCGAUAUCCGCAGGUCGUCUUCUGGUCCCAACAUACGUGACAUGGCACAUGCAUGCCCACCCCACCCCCACCCCCAGAAAACAUAAGCAAGCAUUUUACAAUUUUUUUGUUUUGUUUUCUGUUGUUGCUUCUUUUUAGAAUGAGUCUUCUCUAUCUAAGGACAAAAGAGAAGCAGGAGUCUCAGGAGAUUAGGGUCCAGCUGAGGGCAGAAAGAAGAAGCUUGGUAGAAAUGGUAAGAACGCAAGAAUGGGGUUCUGAAAGCUGUAGAAGGCAGGGAGACAGACAGAAGAGAGAGAAAGCAUCCCUAGACUGUCCAAAGAGGCCUUCAGUGGUCAUACUUGUCAUGAGGAUGCUGUUGUGUUAACACAUGAAAGGCAUUCAGAGAAAUGUCAACAUGUAGUCAGAUCUGAAGAAGUGUCAACCUGAGAGGGAAAAACAUUACCAGGUCACACUUUCCCCAAAGUCACAAACAUCCAGUCACACAAGCCCUAACGAACAUAUCAUCAGGGCUGGAGAGAUGGCUCAGUGGUUAAGAGCACUGGCUGCUCUUCCAGAGGUCCUGAGUUACCAGUUCAGUUACCAGCACCCACAUGGUGGCUCACAACCAUCUGUAAUGGGAUCUGAUGCCCUCCUCUAGCACACGGAUGUUCAUGCAGAUAGAGCCCUCAUAUACAUAAAAAUAAAUAAAUAAGUCUUUUUUUUUUUUUUAAAAAAAGAGAGCAUAUUAUCUUCUUGUCACACAGAACUAAAGUCCAACUUGCAAAGAAAAAAAAAAGUCUGUCAGAGUUCCUGGUAGGUUUAGUUUCUUAUGCAUUUGAAGGUAGAGGCAGUUCACAAGCUUCAGAUACACAAUGUGUUCAAGACUACAUUGGGCUAAACAAUAACAACCUCUCCCAAAACAAAAACAAGUCAGAGGCUGAAGAGCUAGCUCAACAAUUAAGAGUGUACGUUGCUCUCAAAGAGGACCCAGGUUCACUUCUCAGCACCCACACAGUGGCUCACAAAAAUCUGAACUCCGGUUUCAAGAGAUUCCGCACUCUCCUCUGAUUUCCCUGGCACCGGGCAUGCAGGUGGUUUGUGUACAUUCAUGCAGCCAAAAAUACUCAUCCACAUGAAAUAAAAUAACCAUGUAAAACAAGCAACUGGAACCCCCUCCCAAACAAACAAACAAACAAACAACAACAAAACCAAAUUAACAACAACAAACAAAAUCCUGUCUGGUAAAUCAUUUUUAAAAUUUUUUAAAAAUAAGAUUACCACAUGAUUUGGUAACUUUUUUCCUAGAUAUGUCUCUGUACAUAUAUGUAUAUAUAAAAAAUCAAAAGCUGAUAUCUGAACAGGUAUUUUUAUAUAUGUGUUUUGAAUAGAAGUACUCACAGAAGCUAAGAUACAGAAACCACUCCACUGUCACCUGUGGAUAAGCUGUAGGUAACAGGCAAAGAGUGGAAAGUUACUCAGCCAUAGCAAGGAAGACAAUCUGGUCACACUCUAGUAUAGGCGAACCCCGAGGACACUGCAGUAAAUGAAGUUAGCUGGUCACAAAUAGACGGGCACUGUACGAUUCCUUCUCUAUGAACUGUCCAAUGUCAGGUUCACAGAGAAGAGAAAGGAAGUAUCGUGUGGUUACCAGAUUCUUUGGGAAAGGCAAGUGGUUUAAUCGGUUUAGUUUUAGAUUUGAAGUAUAAGAAUGUUCUAGAAAUCUGUUUCUUAAUAGUGUGGGGGGGCAUACACAAUACCACUGAUGCACCCCAAGCAUGACCAUACAUUCCUGUAAGCCCAGCACUGGGGGGAGGGGGUGGGGGGUGCUGAGUACAGGGGCUGUGCAUUCCCAGGCAGUCAAGGUUACACACCCCUAUCUCAAAGCACAAUGUAACAGCAAGA
rnacentral:lncRNA from 1 species